rnacentral:rRNA from 1 species
UACGUAGGGACCGAGCGUUGUCCGGAAUCAUUGGGCGUAAAGCGCGCGUAGGCGGCCCGGUAAGUCCGCUGUGAAAGUCAAAGGCUCAACCUUUGAAUGUCAGCGGAUACUGCCAGGCUAGAGUCCGGAAGAGGCGAGUGGAACUCCUGGUGUAGCGGUGGAAUGCGCAGAUAUCAGGAAGAACACCGACGGCGAAGGCAGCUCGCUGGGACGGUACUGACGCUGAGACGCGAAAGCGUGGGGAGCGAACAGG